rnacentral:rRNA from 1 species
UACGUAGGGACCAAGCGUUGUUCGGAUUUACUGGGCGUAAAGGGAGCGUAGGCGGCAAUUCAAGUCAGUUGUGAAAUCUUCGAGCUUAACUCGGAACGGUCAACUGAUACUGCUUUGCUAGAGUACAGAAGGGGCAAUCGGAAUUCUUGGUGUAGCGGUGAAAUGCGUAGAUAUCAAGAGGAACACCUGAGGUGAAGACGGGUUGCUGGGCUGAUACUGACGCUGAGGCUCGAAAGCCAGGGGAGCAAACGGG